UACGGGGGGGGCAAGCGUUGUUCGGAAUUACUGGGCGUAAAGGGCUUGUAGGUGGCCAACUAAGUCAGACGUGAAAUCCCUCGGCUUAACCGGGGAACUGCCUCUGAUACUGGAUGGCUUGAGAUUGGGAGAGGGAUGCGGAAUUCCAGGUGUAGCGGUGAAAUGCGUAGAUAUCUGGAGGAACACCGGUGGCGAAGGCGGCAUCCUGGACCAACACUGACGCUGAGGAGCGAAAGCCAGGGGAGCAAACGGG
rnacentral:rRNA from 1 species